rnacentral:misc_RNA from 1 species
UACAGAGGUCCCAAGCGUUGUUCGGAUUCACUGGGCGUAAAGGGUGCGUAGGUGGCAAGGUAAGUUUGAUGUGAAAUCUCCGGGCUUAACCCGGAAACUGCAUUGAAUACUAUCUCGCUUGAGAGUUGGAGGGGAGACUGGAAUACUUGGUGUAGCAGUGAAAUGCGUAGAUAUCAAGUGGAACACCAGUGGCGAAGGCGAGUCUCUGGACAACUUCUGACACUGAGGCACGAAAGCUAGGGGAGCAAACAGG